AUUGAACGCUGGCGGCAGGCCUAACACAUGCAAGUCGAAUGGUAACAGGAAACAGCUUUCUGUUUCGCUGACGAGUGGCGGACGGGUGAGUAAUGUCUGGGAAACUGCCUGAUGGAGGGGGAUAACUACUGGAAACGGUAGCUAAUACCGCAUAACGUCGCAAGACCAAAGAGGGGGACCUUCGGGCCUCUUGCCAUCAGAUGUGCCCAGAUGGGAUUAGCUAGUAGGUGGGGUAACGGCUCACCUAGGCGACGAUCCCUAGCUGGUCUGAGAGGAUGACCAGCCACACUGGAACUGAGACACGGUCCAGACUCCUACGGGAGGCAGCAGUGGGGAAUAUUGCACAAUGGGCGCAAGCCUGAUGCAGCCAUGCCGCGUGUAUGAAGAAGGCCUUCGGGUUGUAAAGUACUUUCAGCGGGGAGGAAGGGAGUAAAGUUAAUACCUUUGCUCAUUGACGGUACCCGCAGAAGAAGCACCGGCUAACUCCGUG
rnacentral:rRNA from 1 species